rnacentral:rRNA from 1 species
GAUGAACGCUGGCGGCGUGCCUAAUACAUGCAAGUCGAGCGAAGCGGGGACGGGUGAGUAACACGUUGACAACCUCCUAUAAGCCUGGGAUAACUUCGGGAAACCGGAGCUAAACCCGAUAUUCAUAGCUGGUUCCGCGCUGAAUUAGCUAGUUGGUAAGGAAACGGCUUACCAAGGCAACGAUGCAUAGCCGACCUGAGAGGGGGAUCGGCCACACUGGAACUGAGACACGGGCCAGACUCCUACGGGAGGCAGCAGUAGGGAAUCUUCCGCAAUGGGCGAAAGCCGGACGGAGCAACGCCGCGUGAGUGAUGAAGGUCUUCGGAUCGUAAAACUCUGUUAGUAGGGAAGCGGUACCUAAUCAGAAAGCCACGGCUAACUACGUGCCAGCAGCCGCGGUAAUAC